rnacentral:rRNA from 1 species
AGUGAACGCUGGCGGCAGGCCUAACACAUGCAAGUCGAACGGCAGCACAGUAAGAGCUUGCUCCUACGGGUGGCGAGUGGCGGACGGGUGAGGAAUACAUCGGAAUCUACUUUUUCGUGGGGGAUAACGUAGGGAAACUUACGCUAAUACCGCAUACGACCUACGGGUGAAAGCAGGGGAUCUUCGGACCUUGUGCGAUUGAAUGAGCUGAUGUCGGAUUAGCUAGUUGGCGGGGUAAAGGCCCACCAAGGCGACGAUCCGUAGCGGGUCUGAGAGGAUGAUCAGCCACACUGGAACUGAGACACGGUCCAGACUCCUACGGGAGGCAGCAGUGGGGAAUAUUGGACAAUGGGCGCAAGCCUGAUCCAGCCAUACCGCGUGAGUGAAGAAGGCCUUCGGGUUGUAAAGCCCUUUUGUUGGGAAAGAAAAGCAGCAGGUUAAUACCCCGCUGUUCUGACGGUACCCAAAGAAUAAGCACCGGCUAACUUCGUG